CCUUGGGAUAGAUGGACAGGAAAAUCAAAGUGACUGCAGGGCAAAAUGUGUAGAGACCACUCCCUUCCUGCUCCGGUGUCAGACCAAAAGCUACCUUCACAAGACCAGGGAGGAGCCUGGUGUGCAGCCAGAACUGCCCUGGUCCCUCCCACGGGUGCAGUGAUUCAGAAAGGCGGUAAGACACCCUUAGCGAACAUUUCAUGUCCCAAUGCUGAUGAUGGGAAGGGCCUUUGCAAAUCAGUGCACCCUGUGCCCCACUGGCAAGCAAACAGCCCCUUCAGCAGGCCAAUCUACCCCAUGGGCCUGGGUACCCAUCUAACAGUAGAGGGAUGAAGCCAACAGAUCGCCUAGAUCUUGGCACACGAUUCAAUCAAGCCCCCACCCAAGUAUCCCUUGGCAUUUCCCCAGGACCCCCUCUCAUCUCAGGGUUCACUGGCCAGGACUCUGCAUAGCGGCUGCCUGCGCGAGGCCUCGUCUAACUUCUGGGGUAAACUUUGUUGGGUGGUUUUUGUUGUUUUGUCAGCUGGAGUUGGAACCCAGGGCCUCACACAGGCUAGGCAAAUGCUCUGCCCCUGAGUUAUGCCCUCAGCUCUGGGAGAAAGGGUAAGAAACCCAUCCAGGAGCAAGAGCAGUGACCUCCAAGGAACACUAGGAAAGGGAGGCAAAAAGAGAGCCAUCGACCUCACAGUCUCCACCUGUCACUGACAAAUUCAUUAAGUUCCAGGCCUGACCAAGGUCCUGAGCUCUGAAGGCCCAGCCCAGCUUUACGGGAGGAAGAGAAAAGGGCGUACGGGGAGAGAGAAGCCGUCACUGUAAAGUGGGGGGGGGGCUGCAUCCUGCCUGUGACCCCACCCAGGCAGACAGAGACAUGCCACAGCACUCACUGACGCUAGCACACACACACCAGCCUCUGAGCUAACCCCGGGCCUAACCGUGUCUCCUCGAGCGCCAGGACAGCCGUAAAUGGCUGCACAUAGUACACCUUCUGGCAUCUCCUGUGGGAACCAGGCUCCUCCCUUCUCUGCAGGACAAGGAAGGAUCCAAACACCCAUCAAGAGAAGUGCUUUUGCCAGGAGAAACUCAGGUGGCCCAGCUCUAAGCACUAGGGCACAUUUCCCUUAAUAAAAACGGUCCAUCAGUUGGACGGUCCCCUCUCCUUUGGCGCUGGGAGACAGGCCUAAGUGUCCAGGGCUGCAGGGUCUGGGAAGCCAUCUUCUACCUGUUGAACGUAGUGUCCCUGCACAGAGCCCAUGUUAACUGCUGAUCCAGAGGGCUUCCCACUGGGGCUAGCAGAGCUAGGCCUGAAAAAACCAAAGGCAGGGUUGAGAAUACACACGCGUCACCACAGAGAAGGAGUCAACGCCUAGCAGCACAAGGAGGCAGAUGGAGACAGGGAGGCUCUCUGGCCAGAGGCCUUAGCAGACGGAAAGCACAGAUCUGAGACAGCCAAGAAUGCAAACAGGGAGGAGGGUGGUCACACAGUGCCCACAGUGUCCCUCGGCACUCCCCGGAGAUACACCCAGGAGAGGAGCAGACAGCCAGUGCCAUCCUCGGGCUGUGGGAUCUGGAUCAAUGUGAUUCAGUGUCCACAUGAAGGCUUGCAGUGGCUUCCCAGGAGCUAUACCAGGGGUUGCCUCGUUCUCACUUGUCGGGGAGGGGAGAGAUCUACAACUGCAUUUAGGCCCCAGGGCUUAGAUGUUUCAUGAGAAAAAGAUCUGUAAGAAAGAGUACAACGCAGAGGCCAGCGAGUCUCCCAGGGACGAGGCUGUCUAGUGCUAGGUACCCUCAUAGCCCAAAGUUAUCAUGGGGACAGCACAUCCCUUUAAUUUCUAACUGAGGACUCCUUUUUUGCAAGGCAUGUCUCACUUGCUCAUUUCCUGAAAACCUUGGGGCAGUACACAAGAGUCAAAGCGAUCCCUCUGGUCACCAUGAUGCCUGUGUCUCCCACCUCCAGCAGCCCCUCCAUCAUGUCACAGUCUGUCCCAGGCCUCACAGAUAAUUAACACGGUAUGUACAUGUAACUAGCCAUGUUCUCCAGGAGAUGGGUUUUGUCUGUUUUUUUUUUUUUUUUUUUUUUUUUUUGUUCUGUUGUUUUUUGGUUUGGUUCUGGGUAUGGAACCAAGAGCCUCAUGAAGUACACCUGCCCUCGACACUGAUCGACUCCUAGCUCCUCCUUACCCUUGACAAAUCCUCUCUCGACUGCUAACAGUCAUUAUGCAGACGGCAGCCAUACCACACAGGUUAGAAAUGGUGACAAGAAACCAUUUUGGCCCCUUCCCACUCCCAAAUAUUUUCAAUCUGUGGACAGAGUGCCCAGUUUCUUUCAAGACUGUUCCCUCCUUACAGCCUACUGAGCCCAGGUUUCCGCAGUCACACUGGGCAGGCAGGACUAUGGUGUGUGCGCCUUCCUGAAGGUUCCUCCCUCCCUUCCUCCAUUCGCAUGACUCCGCUGUACGGGCCCUCGGCCAGGCAUUGGCAGCAGAAUAGAAUGUAUUCAUGCACAAACAAAAGCCACAACAGCAGGGGUGUUAAGACAGACCAGGGGCCUUCACUUUAUGGCCGUGACUUGGGGGAAAGACGGAGGCCAGCACGCCGGAGUGUCAGGAGAGUGGGGCCCGGCCGGUGGGACUCGACCUGCACGUGUGUUGCUGAGUGACCUCUAGAAAGACUACAGAUCUGUCUGUCCCACUCGGUGUUUAAACACGAGGUAUGAGGCUCUAUAUUCUCUCAGGCCCAGGCCCAGAGCGACAUCCUCAACCCAGCAGGAUGGAAUCAGGAGCCCCUGCCAUGAUCCAACAGACACCUCUGAAUCAAGCCAAGGGGAACCUCCAAUGGUUACUGGAGGCAGAGAACCCAGACCAAGGAAGUAAACAAGAAUGACUCAGAGGACUGGAGUGAUCCUGAUAUUGCUGACCAGGGGACCAUACCCAAGCUGUGGCAGGCCCGGAAGAGCCAGAGAGGCCCAAGACUAAAGCCACUGCACACACAGAAGGGAUUCUCUGGGGCACGGGAGACGGGACAGUGAAGAGGGAAGGGCAUGGGAAGAAGACCCAGCGGUCUGUGGUACACUGGGAAGGAGUACGGCGCAUCUAAUGACCCAGUCCACAGCCCCGGAGCAGCACCCAGGACAGCAGGGCAGCACGGGGGGUCUCACACCUGGCUGUCUCACCUGAAAGGCUGCAGGGAGCUGAAGAUCUCCUGGGACUGGGAGGCGGGAAGUCCACCCCUCAGCCCAAGCUGCGCCUGUGCCUGCAGAGACGUGUGAAGGGAUAUCGGGAUCUGCUGGGCAGUGGCGGCCUAUGAACAGGAGCCAGGUGAUGACUGCGUUGUCUGCAACACACCUCCCCGCUUCCACCCAGUCCUGGCCUGGCUGGCAAGGGCACCGCUCCACUCAUCUGAUCUGUCUUCCCACAGCAAAGGUCAGUGAGUGGUAAGACCAAGGCACGGUCGCCCUACUGCUGGAACCACAUAGUACAAAUGAGUCCAGCUCCACACAUCAAUGGAGGGGAAUUCUGAGGAUCCUUUUUAGGAUAUAUGCAAGCUGGGGGUUGUGUCUUACUCGUGUAGUAUCAACCCUUGGGUUGAGGCUACAGGACCUCUCUAAGUUCCAGCUCAGCCAGGGCCAAAUAGUUCUAGGCCAGCCUGGACUAGAGUAAGACUUAAAGAAAGUGAUAGAAAGACAGGUCAGUGUUUAAAAACACUGGUUCUUGAUGAAAACCUGGGCUCAGUUCUCAGCAUCCAGGACUGACUGUCUGCAGGUCCCGUCCCAGAGGACCUCACACCUUUGGGCUUCUGUGGGCAGUGUAUGCACACAGUGCACAGACAAAUGUGCAGGCAAAAUCAUCAUAAAAUAAAAACAAAAUGAAGG